CAGGGCACCGGCGCAGCGAGAUUCCAGCCCCAGUCCCCUCGGGCGGGCGCCCUGGGCUGUGUAAGGCGCAGGGCUCCCUGUGGCAUCGCCCAAGUAGGGAUGGGGUCGGGCGCCCGCGGCCCCGCCGCGCAGUGCGCUCCUGGCCGACUUCAGUCCGUCUCGCGGCUUUUCCCGGGUUUAUCCCGCGCAGCAGCUGCCGCCUCGGGACACGCUCAUUCCCACGGCCACCGGCAAACCACUCCUGGCGACUCCCCGGGACCUGAAGAGCCGCGGCGCGGAGGUGACCCUCCCCGGCCUGCGCCUCCCUUCUUCCUCCUCCCCAGCUGGGCGCGUGGUCGCGUCGCCGGGGGACUCUGCUGAUGCCAGAGAAAUGGGCUGGGGGUGCCGGGUGCCAGGAUGGGGUGGGGCGGCCCGAGGCCGGCCUGACUCCGGGACCGGGCUGCGGGCGAGGGUCUCGGGGCCCGGCUCGGCCGGCUUCCGGGCCGAGAGAGAAGGGCAGAGGAAGCGGUCAGGGUCCCCUCCGGCCCCGGCCUCCCUCCCGGAGUACAAGCCCUUGGAGGCCAGGUUUUGGGUUGCUGCCGCCCAGCCCUUUCGGUCUCCACUUCUCCCUACGGACGUUCACAACUGCUUGCUUUAUUUCUCCCUCCAUUCCCCCGUGGAGCCCCCUCGGCAGCGGAGGGGUCGCGUGCUUCUCCUCUCCCGCCUGCGCCUCCCUCCUUCCCGCCCGACAGCCCAGGAGGAGCUGCGGGCGCGGCCCUGGGACUGCCGGAGCCUGGGACGUCUGCUCGCUCGCGCCCUCCCAGGCGUUGCCGCGGGUCCGAGCCCCCGCAGAGGUGGGCAUAGCCCCGGGGCCGCGGAAAACGAAGGCAGCUGGGCAGGGACGCUCGAUUUUCCGAGCCCCACUUUCCUUUCACAGCCCACUGGGAUGUGUAGUUCUUCCGCCCGCCGGCCUGCGCCGAGGAGAAGUACGACUCGGGGCCUUAGAAACUACAAGUCCCUGCAUCCCCCGCGACAAGGGCAGGAGAGGCGUGGUGCCGGGCGUUCUGGGGCUAGGUGGUGGGAGAUGGGAACCAACAAAGGGGGUUGUUGGGAACGGUACGUUCUCUGUAUUGGGCAGUUUGCGCGUUACACAUGUUCUUUGUCUAAUCUUCGCCGGAACCCGGCGAGGCAUUAUUGUAUCCAGCUUAGAGAAAGCUUAAUCACAAAGCUCCCAAGUAGUAGAGAUGGCAUCGAACCCAGAGCCCUAAGUAUGGCCCUUACAAAGCGUGCCUCAUUGAGGAGUGUCGAAGGGGGAUGAGAUUGUCUUAUCCAAGAGGGCCAGUUGGGAGGAGCUGUGGUAAGGAAAAAGUGAUGGGAAUAGCAAUUAGAGUAUGACAUGCAAUUACAAGGAGUUUUGAAUACAAGUGAAAUUUACAGGGGUCCAUUCCAAAGCCGGUUAGAGUCUAGCGAGAAUGGAUGUUAAGCACACGAUAAUAAUUGGGUUUCAAUUAUUUUAGAUAUUGUAUGAGAGACAAGCAUAUUACAGGGACAAUUAAGUACUUUGUGGCUGGACUAUUUUUAAAAAACCAACUGGAAAGCUUCAGACAUUUCAAGUGAAAGCUCUCAUACGCUUUCCUGUCCUUUAGCUAAUGAGAUCAACGGGGUAUUAUUCUUAUUCUGUUUAUUGCAAGCACCUUUCCUGUGGGUGUCCAAUUAAUAUAAUAGAUCCAUUGAUUUGAUGGCAUUAAAAAAGACUCCCACUCUUAUUCUCAAUGAAACCGAAUUUUUCUGGCAUUAUGGUUAUGCUUUUAAAAAGUCCUUCCUUGUCUGUUAGAGAUACGUACUAAAGUAUCUGCCAGUGAAAUAAUAUAAAGUCUGAAAUGUGCUUUAAAACACACCAGCCCAUCCACUCCCCUCCUCCCACCCACCCAGCUCCAGACAUGGAGGUAUAAAUGAAACAAUUUGAAACUGUUGCAAAUAGUUGACCUUGGGUGACAUAUACUUAAUUAUUUAUUGCUGCAAAUUGCCACAAACGUAGUGGCCUUAAAACAAGACAGAUUUUUCUCACAGUUUUUAUGGAUCAGGUGUCCAGGUACACUCAGUCCUCCACUUAGGGUCUCACACCUGCCAUCAAGGGGCUGGCCAGGCUGCAUUCACAUUCACUGGAGAAGAACUGGCUUCCACUCUGACUCCGGGCACAGGCAAAAUUCCUUUCCUUGCAGCAGUAGGACCGAGGGCCCUGGCUUCUUGCUGGCUGGAGACUGGAGACUGUCCUCAGCUCCAAGGGGGAACCUGCAAUUCCUAGAGGUUACCUGGACUUCAUUGUCACUUGGGCUUUCCGAGCACAGCCACUUAUUUCAUCAGGCCUGCAAGGAGAGUCCCCAGAGGCGUUCACUAGAACCUGGUGUGUGAUAGCUGCAGAAUUCACCUCACCAGCUACAGUUGAUCUUGGACAAUAUGGGUUUGAACAGCGUGGAUGCCCUUAGACACGGAUUUUUUUCAACCAAAUGCAGAUGGAAAAUACAGCAUCCGUGGGAUGGGAAAUGUGAGUAUUCAGAGGGCAAAGGCCAACUCUUCCUAUGUGCAGGUUCUGUGGAGCCUGUUUAAGGACCUGAAUAUAUGCAGAUUCAGGUAUACGCAGGUGAUCCUGGAACCAAUCUCCUGAGGAUACUGAGGGACGGCUGUAAAACCUACUGUAUAAGGUAUGGUAGACUUUAUUCAUUUAUUUUACAGUUAUCUAUUUCAGGGCCUAGAUUGUGCUAAGUACUGUUUUAGCAGCAGCGAUAUAAAAAGAUCCAAGAUAGAAGCUUAUAUUUGGGGACUGGGGGAGAGGUGGAGAGAAUAAACAAAUAAAUAAAUGACUAAUAAGACAAUUUCAGAGAGUAAUUACAAGAACGAAAAAACAAAGCAGGGUUAUGGGAUGGAGAGACUGGGGUCGGGCAGAGAAUCGAAUGAUGAGAAGCAGCAAGUACCAAGUCCUCAAGGCAGAACAACCUGGAAAAUUCUAGGGGUACAAAGAAAAACCAGUCUGGCUGGAGUGGAACGAGGGCCAGGGAGAGAGGGAAAAAGGAACAGGACCAAGGAAGCAUCUGGAAUUCAUUCUGUGUGCACCAGCAUCAAUUCUGUAUACCACACUCUGUACCCACCAUCGGUGUAAGUGUUGAGGGGUCUGAAAGAAGAAUCACCAUCCUUGCCCUCCAGGAAUGUAUAGAUUCCAAACUUUAAUGCUAGAGGGACAUCAGCGUAUCUAGAAUUAGAGACCAAAACAUGUAUUUCUCAAACAAGGACACUGAAAAGUCAAAAGACCUGCUAAAAAUUCCUUGAGAAUGCCUCGCCAAUAACAAAUAAUCCAAAAAUGAGUCUUAAAUUGAAUUAAAAGAGUGCAUGAUCUACUUUUGCUAAA